rfam:Peptostreptococcaceae bacterium oral taxon 113 str. W5053 genomic scaffold Scaffold322, whole genome shotgun sequence.
UAAGUAAAUCAGAUGAUCGCGUGUGUUUACACGAGGAAAGUCCGUGCACCGCAGAGCAGGAUACCGGAUAACGUCCGGUGGGGGCGACCCUAAGGAAAGUGCAACAGAGAGAUACCGCUUUGCGUGAGCGAAGUAAGGGUGGAAAGGUGAGGUAAGAGCUCACCAGCGUAUAAGCGAUUAUGACGGCUAUGUAAACCCUAUCCGGUGCAAGAUCGAAUGGACCAUAACAGCGGCUGCUCGUCGCUACUACAUGGUGGAUUGCUUGAGCUUAUCGGUAACGAUAAGACUAGAUAGAUGAUCAUCAAAUACAGAACACGGCUUAUAGAUUUGCUUUUGAC